AAACGUAUUGAAACGUGUAAAUUUACAUGUAUGUAUGGAGUGAUUAGAUUCCCAAUAAAUAUAAAUCGAAGCCGACCAACCAAAGUGCAAAGAAGCAGAUGCGAAGAAGAAAUCACCCACUCAAAGGCUCAGUCACCUCAUCAUCAUCAUAUCAUCAUUCGCCACUCUCAACUCUCAACAACAACAAUCCCUUCUUCUUCUUCUUCUUCUGUCCAUGGUUCUUCGCAUGCUGUGUGUGUACACUAGCGCCUGAGCGUAGCAGUGGUGGGAGCAGAGAAUUUUGCAGAAGAGAGAUCAGAGAGAAGAGGCCUGGCCGGAAUACGGGGAAUAUUGAGUAGAUUAGGAGGGAAUCGGAGGAAGAAACCCAGGAUUAAAACCAUGGAUGAUUGGUGGCACAAGAUGGUUUUUCCGGUCAGAAAAGUUUGGAUUGCAGUUUCUGCUCGUGUUAAAGCUCGCAAACAUGGUGCAGGCCUAUUGAAGCUUCGUGAUGACAUACAAACGUGUGGGUACGAGGAUGUCCAGGUGAUGUGGGAGAUGCUGAGAAGAACCGAAUCUGAGUUGACAUCUCGGCAUAGUAAGCCCAAACACCGACCAUUCUGGAGAAUCUUCGUAUGGUCCAACCACAGAAGUUGCCCGCCUUUCUCAACAACCCAUGCCCACCAGUAACCAACCAGCCGCACUCAAAGGAAGACAUGUUAAGGAAUCAUCCUUCGGCUGAUAGCUACAAGAUAUGGUGGUCCAAACAUAUCGAGUGUCCAUAUCAGUAUGAUAGUGAAGGAUGUGUAUCUAUUUCCCCUCUUCACCCAGAUUACGCCUACUUUCAGAAAAAAAAAAAACAGUCAAUUGUAAAUAGAAACAUCUUUUCUCGUGAUCUAGAAAGAACAGACAAAUUGACAGGGGGAAACUAUGAAAAGGUCAAAUUUCCGCA